AUGGACAAUGUGUUCCCUGGAGUAGAGCAUAGGGAAUGCAUGCGUCACCUUGCUGCAAAUUUCAUGAAGAAAUUCAAAGGAAAGGUGUAUACCGACAAUUUAUGGCUAGCAUCUUUGACUUGCAGUGUGAAGAAGCACAACUACCACUUGAGGCAGUUAUACAUGAAUCCCAAAGUGAAAGAAUACUUGGAAACACACCACUCCAAGUUAUGGGCCAGAAGCCAAUUCGGUGAAGUGAGCAAAGUUGACUAUGUGCACAAUAAUCUAGCAGAGUCUUUCAACUCAACGAUCCGGAAA
rnacentral:rRNA from 1 species